rnacentral:rRNA from 1 species
AACGCGAAGAACCUUACCAAGGCUUGACAUACACCGGAAACGGCCAGAGAUGGUCGCCCCCUUGUGGUCGGUGUACAGGUGGUGUAUGGCUGUCGUCAGCUCGUGUCGUGAGAUGUUGGGUUAAGUCCCGCAACGAGCGCAACCCUUGUUCUGUGUUGCCAGCAUGCCCUUCGGGGUGAUGGGGACUCACAGGAGACUGCCGGGGUCAACUCGGAGGAAGGUGGGGACGACGUCAAGUCAUCAUGCCCCUUAUGCCUUGGGCUGCACACGUGCUACAAUGGCAGGUACAAUGAGCUGCGAAGCCGUGAGGCGGAGCGAAUCUCAAAAAGCCUGUCUCAGUUCGGAUUGGGGUCUGCAACUCGACCCCAUGAAGUCGGAGUUGCUAGUAAUCGCAGAUCAGCAGUGCUGCGGUGAAUACGUUCCCGGGCCUUGUACACACCG